GCGAGCUUUAUGACGGAAAACUGUCACGUAUGGUUCUGAGGGCAGACACCGAGUGCUGACCCCUAU
rnacentral:ncRNA from 1 species